rnacentral:lncRNA from 1 species
GGGCUGGAGCGCCGCGCCCGGCAGACUCCAGGGAGAUGCCAAGCGACGGGAGCAACUCCCGUUUCCACGUCGGGGAAACCUUUGUUGGUCGCUCCCGUCUCGCAGAGGCUGCAAGGGGCGCACGGUCACAGCCAGCGCUGUGCCUGUCUGGAUGCUCCGAUGUGUGCAUUGCAGAUCUGAAUUUUCAGAGCAAGCCAGAGCAGUCCUGUGAAAAAGCAAGUUCCUAGACUUUGAAGAGUCUAGGAUUGAUUCCUAAAAGAAGUGAACAUUAUUAAUAAAUCAGCCACAACACAUCUUUGGCA